GUCUAUGUCUGAGUGUCUCCUGUGCUCGUGAUCAUUUAGUCCAAUUCAUUCCCAACCCUGGUCCUGAAAUACUCUGUCCUGCCUGUUUUAGUGUUUCCCCUUCUCCCAACACACCUGAUUUAACUAAUCAGCUAAUUAACAGCUCUUCCUGACUUAAAUCAGGUGUGUUAGAAACAGGGGUAUGUAGGGCAGGGGGUUCUCCAGGACCAGAGUUGGAAACUUGUGAUUCAGUGAGUGAAGAUGCACUAAUGAGGCCACAUCCUCUAGUCUCAUCCACUCCACUGUCAUGUGCACAGCGCUGGUGUUGGGUUUGAUAAAACAGGGCAGAACCAGGUCUUCACCAGCUACAGCAUCAAGAGGAGCUUCUGGACCAAUCACUGUUAAUCCCUCUGGGUUUUUUCCCCCCAAAAAUACACAAAUACUGUAUAUCAUUACCAAUACUAUGUAUGUAUGUAUGUAUGUAUGUAUGUGUGUGUACCUUGAUUUCCAAAUGAAAUGCAAAUUUUACUUUCAUUUUCCCCGUGAUUGUGGUUGUGUGUACUGAACCAGACUGGAAGAUUAAAGACUCAGGAAACCUUU